GACGAACGCUGGCGGCGUGCCUAAUACAUGCAAGUAGAACGCUGAAGAGAGGAGCUUGCUCUUCUUGGAUGAGUUGCGAACGGGUGAGUAACGCGUAGGUAACCUGCCUGGUAGCGGGGGAUAACUAUUGGAAACGAUAGCUAAUACCGCAUAAAAUGGAUUAUCGCAUGAUAAUCCAUUGAAAGGUGCAAAUGCAUCACUACCAGAUGGACCUGCGUUGUAUUAGCUAGUUGGUGAGGUAACGGCUCACCAAGGCGACGAUACAUAGCCGACCUGAGAGGGUGAUCGGCCACACUGGGACUGAGACACGGCCCAGACUCCUACGGGAGGCAGCAGUAGGGAAUCUUCGGCAAUGGACGGAAGUCUGACCGAGCAACGCCGCGUGAGUGAAGAAGGUUUUCGGAUCGUAAAGCUCUGUUGUAAGAGAAGAACGAGUGUGAGAGUGGAAAGUUCACACUGUGACGGUAUCUUACCAGAAAGGGACGGCUAACUACGUGCCAGCAGCCGCGGUAAUACGUAGGUCCCGAGCGUUGUCCGGACUUAUUGGGCGUAAAGCGAGCGCAGGCGGUUAGAUAAGUCUGAAGUUAAAGGCUGUGGCUUAACCAUAGUACGCUUUGGAAACUGUUUAACUUGAGUGCAAGAGGGGAGAGUGGAAUUCCAUGUGUAGCGGUGAAAUGCGUAGAUAUAUGGAGGAACACCGGUGGCGAAAGCGGCUCUCUGGCUUGUAACUGACGCUGAGGCUCGAAAGCGUGGGGAGCAAACAGGAUUAGAUACCCUGGUAGUCCACGCCGUAAACGAUGAGUGCUAGGUGUUAGACCCUUUCCGGGGUUUAGUGCCGCAGCUAACGCAUCAAGCACUCCGCCUGGGGAGUACGACCGCAAGGUUGAAACUCAAAGGAAUUGACGGGGGCCCGCACAAGCGGUGGAGCAUGUGGUUUAAUUCGAAGCAACGCGAAGAACCUUACCAGGUCUUGACAUCCCUCUGACCGCUCUAGAGAUAGAGUUUUCCUUCGGGACAGAGGUGACAGGUGGUGCAUGGUUGUCGUCAGCUCGUGUCGUGAGAUGUUGGGUUAAUCCCGCAACGAGCGCAACCCUAUUGUUAGUUGCCAUCAUUCAGUUGGGCACUCUAGCGAGACUGCCGGUAAUAAACCGGAGGAAGGUGGGGAUGACGUCAAAUCAUCAUGCCCCUUAUGACCUGGGCUACACACGUGCUACAAUGGCUGGUACAACGAGUCGCAAGCCGGUGACGGCAAGCUAAUCUCUUAAAGCCAGUCUCAGUUCGGAUUGUAGGCUGCAACUCGCCUACAUGAAGUCGGAAUCGCUAGUAAUCGCGGAUCAGCACGCCGCGGUGAAUACGUUCCCGGGCCUUGUACACACCGCCCGUCACACCACGAGAGUUUGUAACACCCGAAGUCGGUGAGGUAACCAUUUGGAGCCAGCCGCCUAAGGUGGGAUAGAUGAUUGGGGUGAAGUCGUAACAAGGUAG
rnacentral:rRNA from 1 species